rnacentral:rRNA from 1 species
GACGAACGCUGGCGGCGUGCUUAACACAUGCAAGUCGAACGAAGUGGCGAACGGGUGAGUAACGCGUAAUCAACCUGCCCUUCAGAGGGGUACAACAGUUGGAAACGACCUCCAAUACCGUAUACUGAAGGCGGGGAUUGCGUGUGAUUAGCUAGUUGGGGGGGUAACGGCCCACCAAGGCGAUGAUCAGUAGCCGGUCUGAGAGGAUGAGCGGCGACAUUGGGACUGAGACACGGCCCAGACUCCUACGGGAGGCAGCAGUAGGGAAUCUUCCGCAAUGGACGGAAGUCUGACGGAGCAACGCCGCGUGAGUGAUGAAGGCCUUCGGGUUGUAAAGCUCUGUUGGUCGGGACGCGGUACCGGAAUAGAAAGCCACGGCUAACUACGUGCCAGCAGCCGCGGUAAUAC